UACGUAGGGCGCAAGCGUUAUCCGGAAUUAUUGGGCGUAAAGAGCUCGUAGGCGGUUUGUCGCGUCUGCUGUGAAAACCCAGGGCUUAACCCUGGGCUUGCAGUGGGUACGGGCAGACUAGAGUGUGGUAGGGGAGACUGGAAUUCCUGGUGUAGCGGUGAAAUGCGCAGAUAUCAGGAGGAACACCGAUGGCGAAGGCAGGUCUCUGGGCCACUACUGACGCUGAGAAGCGAAAGCAUGGGGAGCGAACAGG
rnacentral:rRNA from 1 species